UACGGAGGGUGCAAACGUUGCUCGGAAUCAUUGGGCGUAAAGCGCGCGUAGGCGGUUACUCAAGUCGGAUGUGAAAGCCCUCGGCUUAACUGAGGAAGUGCACCCGAAACUGAGUAGCUAGAGUACCAAAGAGGGUCGCGGAAUUCCCGGUGUAGAGGUGAAAUUCGUAGAUAUCGGGAGGAACACCGGUGGCGAAGGCGGCGACCUGGGUGGAUACUGACGCUGAGGCGCGAAAGCGUGGGGAGCAAACAGG
rnacentral:rRNA from 1 species